rnacentral:rRNA from 1 species
CGCGGUAUAUUGACCGUGCGAAGGUAGCAUAAUCAUUAGUCUUUUAAUUGAAGGCUUGUAUGAAUGGUUGGACGAAAAGUGAUCUGUCUCUAUUGAAGUGAUUGAAUUUAACUUUUGAGUGAGAAGGCUUAAAUGAUCUAGAGGGACGAUAAGACCCUAUAAAGUUUAACAUUAUAACAACAAAAAGUUAAUUGGGAUUGUAAGAUUUAUUGUUGUGAGUAGUGUUUUGUUGGGGCGACAAGAACAUAAAUAAUUUAACUGUUCUUUUUUGUAUCAAAGAUAUUUGAGUUAAUGAUCUUUUUAAGAGUAUCAGAAUAAAUUACUUUAGGGAUAACAGCGUAAUUUUUUUUGAGAGUUCUUAUCGACAAAAGAGUUUGCGACCUCGAUGUUGAAUUAAAGAUUCUUUAUAAUGCAGAAGUUAUAUAAG